GAAUAUUGCGCAAUGGCCGCAAGGCUGACGCAGCGACGCCGCGUGGAGGAUGACGGCCUUCGGGUUGUAAACUCCUGUCGCCCGGGACGAACCGCCGGAUUAGUCCGGCCUGACGGUACCGGGUGAGGAAGCACCGGCUAACUCCGUGCCAGCAGCCGCGGUAAUACGUAGGGUGCGAGCGUUAAUCGGAAUUACUGGGCGUAAAGCGUGCGCAGGCGGUUAUGCAAGACAGAUGUGAAAUCCCCGGGCUCAACCUGGGAACUGCAUUAGUGACUGCAUAGCUAGAGUGCGGCAGAGGGGGAUGGAAUUCCGCGUGUAGCAGUGAAAUGCGUAGAUAUGCGGAGGAACACCGAUGGCGAAGGCAAUCCCCUGGGCCUGCACUGACGCUCAUGCACGAAAGCGUGGGGAGCAAA
rnacentral:rRNA from 1 species